UACGGGGGGGAGCAAGCGUUGUUCGGAUUUACUGGGCGUAAAGGGCGCGUAGGCGGCGUGACAAGUCACUUGUGAAAUCUCCGGGCUUAACUCGGAACGGUCAAGUGAUACUGUCGUGCUAGAGUACGAAAGAGGGUCGCGGAAUUCCCGGUGUAGAGGUGAAAUUCGUAGAUAUUGGGUGGAACACCGGUGGCGAAAGCGGCUCUCUGGUCCGGACCUGACGCUGAGGCGGCGAAAAGCGUGGGGAGCAAACAGG
rnacentral:rRNA from 1 species